ensembl:lncRNA
GGCGCCGUUCGCUGCUGCGGCUCCCGCUGGGCUGCGGGCGCCAGGGGUCAGCGGGGGACCUCCAGCCCAGCCCAGGAGGCAGCCCGGCUGCCCGUGUGCAUAAAUAGCGUCAUUUGUUCACCGGCUGAGAGCCGCCGUCCGGUUCUAAUCGGCGACAAAUGGGGGUGGGAGAAAAGGGGGAAAGGGAGGAUGAGGGUUACAAUAACGAGAUUACACGCUCGCUUAGGUUCCUUGUGUGCGCGUCUUUGUGGUGCUGCCGGGCCUUUGUGCGGCGGGUGGAGGAAUGAGUGAGGAAGUGGGGCCGGGGGCAAAGAGCGCGGCUGGGGCGGGCCCGGGGAAAACAAAGAGGCAGCGAUGCGGCCCCGAGCACAGCCGUGAGCACAGCCCGAGCGGGUGGUGCCGCCUUGGGGUCUUGGAGCUCGGAGUCCACCUCCAGGUCCUGUCAGUCGACACCGGUUUGGGGUCUGUGAGGUUUCCUUCCCAGCUCCCAGCACUUGAUGCUUUGCGGAUCGUUUCUGUGCGAGAGGUGGAGGUCGAAGUGCAGUCGUUGCCUGUAUCGGUGUGCAGGGCUGACUCACUGGGCUCCGUGCUGCCGUGCUCUGCAGCCACAAAAAUUGCUGCUGAUGCUCUGGCUCCUUCAGAGUACGACGAGGUCUGUCUUAGGGGCUGGAUGUGUUCACUUGGCUGAGCCUCUUAAUUCUGGGCCUUUGCAGCAGCAUUACCUGCAGAGACACUUUUCCUCUUUGCCAGUUUCUCCUGCCAACGUGGAGAUGACUCAGAGGCAAGUUCUGAGGACUUCUCUCAGAAAUUACUUGUUUCUGCUGGGCUGCUUCUACCUAUUACUUUGCUUGCACCUAAAAGAAAGAGAUGUAUCUGAAGCAGUUACCGAUUCUGGGGAUGCACUGAGUUACAGCUGGUACCAGAAGGUAACUGGAGUUUCUGAGGAGGACAAUCCCAGUCCUGCUCACCUCCCCAGAUCCCCACAUACCUUGUGAUGCCAGCGCAGCUCGCUCUCACUAUGAUCAGCUUCUACCAACUACCCCAAAGCUGAAGGGAUGGGGAUGGCCUCAGACUUCCCCAUGGCAAAUCACCAACGCAUGUGACAGCCUCUCUCUCUCUGCAUACGUGGAGAGGCUUCCAGCCAGCGCUGUCAUGGAGUAAAGCUGAAAAUAUGCCUCUCUAAGGCUCAAAAGCCUGAAGGCAACAACGAACAAAUAAACCAAACCUGUUGUUUUGAACCCUAACUGAAAAGAAAGGUGGAGGAAGGUAAACAUGCUGUCAAGAUAUAUUGAAGACUUGUGAAAAUAAAGCAAUUUAAAACUGACAUCUAAGAGAAGAGUUCUUUCAUGGGUUUCCCUUUUUAAUCAUAUUCCCUCAGCAAUUACAAUUCAAAUGCUACAGCAGCGUGCAAACUUGUGCAUGAAAUGCAAUAGCAGAAUGAAGCGGCCAACAGUCAAUUAGAGUGAUACUCUGCAGUUCAUUCCCAUUGCAGGGAGAGAAUAAAACCUAAAAUUUGACCCAGAUGGGGAUUUGUGACAACGCUGCAUGCCAUGCCCCACCCCUGUGCACUCUUCUUCACACUCACCACUUUUUCCAGCCGCAGCUGAGGUUGUGCACGUGCAACAAAGUGAGCAGAGAGUUCUUGUGCAUGUCUCUGGAUCAGCACAAUGCAUGUGGCUCUCUGGAGGGAGGAGGCAGGUAACGGGCUGGGAUGUAAGCUCUUCUUUCCCAUCCUCCAGUCCACAUGAAGAAGUAGCAGCUCUUGUUCAUGCAAUCCCAAGGGAGGGAGGGGCUUGAAUUUUGGGUGGUCCUGUGUGGGGCCAGACAUGGGGCUAGAUAAUUCUUG